rnacentral:sRNA from 1 species
UGAUUAUCGCUAUAGAUCACCAAGGCCUC